GGUUGCGAACGUUCGGAUCCUGGGUUCGAAUCCCGGCGACCGGAUUUUAUUUUCACACACCAAAAAACGGAGGAAAAAUCAGCAGUAACCAGCAGCGACAUCUACAACAGCCCCUAGCGACAAUUACUGCGGACGAGGACCAGCAACUACUACAACUAUAACGCACGUCCAAUAUACAUACAACUCACUUGCAGUGGUGACAGAUGGAUGUCGCCUCCCUCCGAAUCCUUAGCAGGAACUCGCCGAAUACUCCGUGGCCGGUGAGCAUUUAUUUGCGUCGUCCAAGGAGGUGAGCGGAACUCCGCCUCGGUCCCUCCAAGCAAGCAGCCUCCCAGUUGGGAAGUACGGCCCGAGCGCCUCGAUGUGGCCGCACAGCAUCAUCCUCGAGCAGCCGAGAGCUCCAUCGCUCCCAGGUCUCUAGAUUCGCCUCCGUCCGGACGUCCUGGGCCGGCCGGCUGGCGAUGGACGGCGUAAGCCCGUCCGAGCCCCCCAGGUCCCUUAGGGUUCGUACACCCGUCGGAGCGCAAGGGCCUGUAACUCGUACGGUGGGGACGCCGCCAGCACGGACGCCAACGCGUAGGAUAUGGUUCGAUAUCCUCUCACUAUGCGGAUGGCGAUCGUUCUUUGCAACCUCCUCAACAAGAGUAAGCUGCGGCCAUUCGCCAUCAGAUCUCCGUCCAUACGGGAGCUCCGUAGAGGAUUCUGGACCGGACCACUCCCUCGUAGAGCCGGCGCACUCUCCGACCUCUGCUCUCGCGAUGUUUGGCAGCAAACCGCAUAAGGUGUUGGCUGCGGCUGUCACCCUUGGAACCAGAAUCUCGAAAUGCGGCCUGAAGGUCCAUUGGCUGUCGAUGAUGAGACCCAGGUAAUUCAUCUGGCAUCUCCCCGGGACUUCUUCCCCGUUGAUGUUCACGGACAUUCCAGGGGGAAGAGCUCCUCUAUAGCGGCGGCCGAACCACAUGGCCUCGGACUUGGCCGGCGACACGCUCAAACCGAGCAUCUGGUUCAAGAUUUCGUACCAGCGGCGUCCCCCGGCCAAGACCAAGGUGUCGUCGGCGUGUAACAUACCAUGCCCGCCCUCAGGGGCAUCGGGCAUCGAAGGACCGAGUCGUAGGCCGUGAUCCACAGGAUGGGUCCCAGUACUGAGCCCUGUGGAACGCCCACGCUCGACCGUCUUCCUCUCUUCUCCGUUCCUACCGGUGUACGCGACCCACCUGUCGCUUAAAUACGCUCGAAUGACCGAGAUACGGCGGCACCUCCAGGUGUUUCAGGGCUUCCACUAUCCUGUCCCAGGGGAUGGCGUUGAAGGCGUUCGCGACAUCCAGGGAAACUGCCAACGCCACCCCGCCUCGGGAAACCAUGUCUUCCGCCAUGGACCUCACUCGCCUAACCGCGUCCACCGUCGAGCGACCUCGGCGAAAGCCAUAUACUGGUUGUCAUGCCAUCCAGGCACUCGCUCUGACAUGUGGGCCUCCAGGCGGGUGGCGAUUAUUCUCUCGAACCUCGUCCAGAAUGUCGAUUGACUGACUGUCUGCUCUCGUGUUAUUAUGGAGGAAAGCUCGGCAUGGGUGGGUUUUAGCUAGCGCAUUCGCACAUGGAGGACGAGCGUAACAUGGAUGACGUAAACUCACGUUGUCAUUUUCAACAAUGCCUUUAUUAAUAAAAAUAAUUCGAUUAUUAAUUUGUAUAUAAAUUAUAUUAACUAAAUAAAAUAAACCAGAAGAAACAAA